rnacentral:lncRNA from 1 species
AGCGUAGAUAAUUUUGUGUUGAAUUAAUACAUUUUCGUAUAGUGCAUUUGAUUAAAUAAAUUAUUUUGCUUUAUUCAUUGUUUAAAAUAGUGUAUAUAUUAACUAUAUAUUGACUGUACAUGCAGUCUGUUGAUCUACGCUAAAUAUAUGAUUGGCUGAUUUGUCACGUAUAGCUGUUGAUACCAAAAUCAAUCAAUCGUGAUAUUUCCACGCAGGGCCGCAGAGAGGGGGCAGGCGGGGAGGGGGGGGGAAUUGCCCCGGGCCCCGAGGUGCUGGGAGCCCCUGAAAAUUUUUUGUUGGGCCCCAGUCUUUUUUGUGUGUUAAAUAUUUCCGCGCAAAGGACAAGAUAUCUGUUUCAGCGGCUAAGUAGGGGGGGAGUUGUUCUCCGGAAAAAAAUUUUUCCCGAAAAUUUUUUUGAUAGGGCCCCCUAAAAAAAAUUUGCCCCAGGCCCCCGCCAAUUACCUCUCGGCGGCCCUGUUUCCACCCAAUAUAAGUGUUAUCCAGUAGUCAAUCAGUAAUGCCCUUAUAUCAUAACAUAUUUAUAAUUUUUAAUAAAUAAUUAAUAAUAUGGCUAGGGGCCUACCAGAAACCUAAUAUAAGUAUUAAAUUUCUACUAUACUUCAAUGGAGUAAAGACUUCGUUUAUAACAUAUCUUUCUUGGUUAUUUAUAAAUAGCUCUACUAAACAGCAGCAGCGGCAGCAAGAAUGGAAAGCAACACAGCCGUUUACCAUGGGCGAGAAGAAAAUCACCACCAGUGCUCUCAUUUUUCAAAAGAAUGGCCAGUUUAAGAAGACAACCUGAAACUUCGAAAGAAAAAAACGUAUGCAGUGCCAAUGGAUAUGGUUAUCGCACACUUCCAAACCCUAAAACGAAGAAUUUGAAUGUUGGAUACAAAUGCUUUCCAUUUGAUACAGGUUUUACUUCUCUAAAACGUAAUUAUUGCUGUGAUGGUUACUUUGGAUGCCCACCAACAAAAAACUGACACGUUGUACUCUCACUAACGAAGUGCAAGAAUGGAUCUCUUUCGUUUCAUUUUCCAGUGUGUGAAAGGAUUGCACGAAAUUUGGAAAUACAUCAGCAUGAUACAAUAUAGCUAUUAUCAUAGUUAAUAGACGAGAUGGUUUGGAAACUCAUUAGAAUAACAGUAGGCCUAUAACUCAUUAUCUAUGUUAGUCAACGUUUAUUCAUAAAUCUAGUCCUUCACCGUCACGAGCGUAUUGUAUUUUUGCCCAACUAACCAUUAGCAAUGUUUUAGGAAAGUUGCCUAUCCGUGACUCGAACAAUAGGAUAAAUUGGAAAUUGCUAUUGGCGGAUUUGGCAAAAAUACAAUACACACGUGACGGUGAAGGAACAUAUUUAUGAAUAAACGUUGACUAACAUCGAUAAUGAGUUAUAUUGUUAUUCUAUAGCUAAUGAGUUUCCAAACCAUCUAUUCUCUUAAUAACUGUGCUAUUAUGUAAAACUUUAGUAACUGGAUAUUUAAAAACGUCGUGACAGAAUACUUAAAUUUAAUAUAUCCAGAAUAUAAAAAUUUAAUAUUUUAAUAUAACCGCUAAAAUGUCAGUUUUCCCCGAGUGAUCAUGUGACCAAAGCGAGGCAAUAUAAUUGGUCAAAUUGACAAGUGUAUAUAUCGUGUUUUUUUUUCAUGGAUCAUGAUCAUCAUUGAUACGUCAAACAAUACUGAAUAGAAUGUGAAAGUAUAAUAAUUAAUAAUAUUAACUUUUAAAUUAUUGUUAAAUUUUGGGACCAAACAUCUUCCCUAUAAAAUUCACUGGAUUCGAUAUCUUCAUGCAUGCAUGUAAGAAAAUUAUAUGUAGUGUUGUGAGCAGUCGUGUGAUAUACAAAAAAACAACUCAAAUUCUCGACUGUACACCAAAUGAUGCGUUCUGCGUCGGGAUAGAUUGCAGAUGAAUGAUAACAUGUAAUUUACAGCUGAUACUGGAAGCAUAAAAUAUAUGCAUGCAUACUGUACAUGUUAAAGUAUUGAACUGUUCAAUAAUUAUUUAACUUGGGUCAACGGUGCGGAAACUAAUUUUUUUAGCAACUUUUUGCCUAGUCAAAUGAUGAUUUAAACAGUUGAAUACUUAAUCUCAUAUGUGUAUAUUCUAAUUCUUCCACUCUCAGCUAGGUGUUUCAACUGCUGCAAUUUAUCCAAUCACCAGUUGAAUUACAAACUAUUAUAACUUUAACUGCCAUUAUUGAUAAUUACUUGUUACUUAUAUUGAUAUGGUAUAAUCAUACUGAUUAAUUAUUACUUUUAAAACAGAGAUGUACACGUAAUAAAUAAUAAUAAGUAAUAGAUAAUAUAUAUAAUGAAAACCUUAAUUGUUGUUAUCAAAUUAUCAGCCGCAAUGGCAUUACCUUCACUCAACCCUCCGUGCUGUUGAAAUAUUAAUAAUUAUUCUUGUUUUCCUUAUAAAAGCUUUGAAAUUUUCCGAGUUUUCAAGACAAUGUUUGAUUGACUAUAUAGUUCAACUCACAACCUACACUAUAUUUUACAGUCGUGCCAAUAGAAGCGUUCCGAAAAAUGUUGAUCAGUUCAUUUCCUAACUUGAAGGAACACCUCUGAACAAUUUCUUAAAAUUUUGAAAAUUUCUUUAAAAAGUUCCUAACUUCCUGUUUCAUUGACCAAUCAAAUUUUAUAUUUUAUUUUUGAGCAAUCUGAUUGGUCAAUGAAACAGAAAGUUAGGCGGAAAUUUUAAAGUAAC